GGAAGUAAAAGUCGUAACGAGGUCUCCGUAGGUGAACCGGCGGAGGGAUCAUUACAGAGUUCAUGCCCUACCGGGUAGAUCUCCCACCCUAUGUUAUUAUUACUUUGUUGCUUUGGCGGGCCGUUAGGCUCCGGCCCGACUACCGGCCCCGGCUGGUAAGCGCCCGCCAGAGGACCCAAAACCCUGAAUAUUAGUGUCGUCCGAGUAACUAUACAAUCGUUAAAACUUUCAACAACGGAUCUCUUGGUUCUG
rnacentral:misc_RNA from 1 species